UAUCUCUGUAGAGUCUGCAUAUCAAUAAGCGGAGGAAAAGAAACUAACAAGGAUUCCCUUAGUAACGGCGAGUGAAGCGGGAAGAGCUCAAAUUUGAAAUCUUCAAGGUUCUACCUUGACGAAUUGUAGUUUAAAGAAGUGUUUUCUGUUAGUGGAGUGGCAAAAGUUCUUUGGAAUAGGACAUCAUAGAGGGUGAGAAUCCCGUAUUUGAUCAUUAUUUCCAGCUUUGUGAUACACUUUCAAAGAGUCGGAUUGUUUGGGAAUGCAGUCCAAAAUGGGUGGUAAAUUUCAUCUAAAGCUAAAUACUGGCGAGAGACCGAUAGCGAACAAGUACCGUGAGGGAAAGAUGAAAAGAACUUUGAAAAGAGAGUUAAACAGUACGUGAAAUUGUCAAAAGGGAAGCGUUUGACACCAGUGUUGUUUUUCCGAAAAUCAAUUACGAAUGUUUUAUUUUUGAGGAGUUAUGACUUCAUCGGCUUGCUCCUUUCUUUACUGGAAACUUUCUUAAUGCACUUUUCGGUUAACAAGUCAACAUCAAUUUCUUUUGUUGUAAAAGAGUAUGAGGAAGGUGGCUUUCUUUUCGGAGAAAGUGUUUAUAGCCUUGUCCUCUGCAAUCGGAGAGAUUGAGGUCUGCAGCGUAGAUCCUUCAGGGUUAGAUACAUUUGUGCUAAGUUAUAGCCUUUCAUAGACAACUUGUUGACUAUGAUCAGUCAUGUAGCUUACUCGCUUAUGCUAUUUUACCUACGCUUAGGAUGUUGAGUAGCGACAUACGCAC
rnacentral:rRNA from 1 species